GGCGGCGUGGUGUAGUGGUUAUCACUUUUCGUUUACAGCUCUCAUGAGAUGUCACCGAAACGGUCCUGGGUUCGACCCCCAGCGCUGUCA